GGUGGCUCAGUGGUAGAGUGCAUGCCUUGCAAGAAUGAGGCCCUGGGUUCCAUUCCUCAGCACCA
rfam:Dipodomys ordii contig_63649, whole genome shotgun sequence.